AUGGUGAUGUCCCUUCUGCUGGUGUUUAUUAUGAUGAUUCAUAUAGCUGCCAAGAUAUAUUCAAGAUGCACGGACAUUGAUUGCAAGAACUUUACCAUAGUAGUUUCCUUCUAUAAAUUUCUUUCACAGUUUUUCAAAAUCGGAAAUGAACCGUGUUGUGAGGACAACUUAACUGCUAGCCAUAACUAUAGAGAGUUGGCAUUUACUCUGUCCGCCCGUCCGCUCGGCCCAAAUCUCACGCACGGAUGCUCCUCCUCCUCUCUCUCUCUCUCUCUUUCUCUCUCUCUAGUGCUCCUCGGCGAUGAAUCCGCUGCACGAUCCCCUGCCGGGCAACCGCUGCCACGAGCAACCACCGCCCGCUGCAACUGCGCGCACGACCCCUCUCCCUCUUAUCCAGUUCUAUUUCCUUUCUCUUUCUCCCCCACACUCCUGUCCGCUGCGUUAAUGGGUACAACGCUCUGCGAAUCCGCCACAGAUGGCGUGAAGCGGAAUUCGGUAUCGCCGCCGCAGAAGCCGCAGUUCCGAUUUGUUCCUCUUUUUUCGCCUCUACAUUUGUCUCUAAUGCUUUGCUCUACUUUUGCCCGCAGCCGUUUUCGUCUGCAGCAGAGGGGAAUCUUGGUGGUGGUCGAUUUGGCAUGUUGUCUCCACCUAAGAGCCCGAUGGCCAAAUCGGCGCAAGUGUGCAGAUACAGUUGAUGGUGUUGCAGCGUCUGAAACAUAUUCAUUGUCUUCUUUGAUUUUGUUUGCAGAAGAUUUUGUUUCCCGAUCAAAAAAUGAUAUAUUAGAUGUUCUAUCUGAUUUUCGCUUAGAGUUUGAUGGAGAAGAUGGUAAUAAGGUUGAUGAGGCUACGAAUACGCCUGAGGACAUCCCUGCUGCAGUUACUCCUGAGGACAUCCCUGCUGCGAAUACGUCUGAGGACAUUCCUGCUCCAACCAGAGAGGUUGUGACUCAGCCUAAGGAUGUCGCUGAUCAGCUGGAGGCUGAGAAGUUAAGGGAGGCAGAGAAAAUAGCAGCUGCUCAAAAUCGCAGGUCGAAGGCAUUGCACGAUAUUUCAUCUCAAUGCACGGAUAUAGUUGUUCACGCUAGUGCUGGUGUUUCUAAUGGCCCUCUAAGUCAUGUAAACCAUGUCCCUAUAAAAAAGAUUAGGACAACUUGUAGGAAGGUAAAGUCACCUCCUGAUGCUCUAGUACGCAGAAGUCCGCGUGUUCUGCCUAGACAAUCACCUGAUGUCGAUGGUAAAUGGCAAAGUCCUAAAGUUAUUCAGAGAGGCAGCUCUGCAAAUCUUAAUCCUGCUGCCGCAAAAAAGGUGAUGGCAGCUAACCAGGCUGUGUCCAAGGCUAAGGCACCUGUUGAUAAGAAGAAGAAUGAUGUUCUUAAGCGUAAGGAGAAGGUUUUGUCGAAGGGCCAGCAAACUAGAGGUAGCACAAAGAAGUUACCUCGUGCUACUCGCAAAUCUGUGCGUUUUGCAAAGGAUGAUGAUUUUGAGUCCGAUGAGGGUGAUGAUGGUGAUGAAGAAGGCGACGAUGACGAACCUUAUGUUUCUGAAGAAGUUUCUGAUUCUGGAGAUGAUAUCGGGAAGUAUGAGUUUGUGAAGAGGCCUUUCAAGAGGAAGAGAGGCGAGGAAGGUGAGCCUAGCAACAAAUUUGAAAAGGUGGCGAAAAAGCGCUUCAACACCACGAUUAGGUGCUCUUUGAAGGAGGUCGCUCUUUGUGUUGCGUUGUUGAAGGAACGUCACUUGAAUGUUCUUCAUACUGUUGAUCUUGGUCAUAUCAAAGACUUCAAGAUCAAAUCCAACAUUAAUCGCCGUCUUGCUUGUUUUCUGAUGUAUAAUAUUGAUCCUAGGACCAUGAUCCAUGAUCUUGGUGGAAAUAAAGUUCUGGAGAUCAAUGCAGAUGUCAUUGAGAAGCGUUUUGCACUGCCUAAUGGUGACGACUCUCCUCCAAGGCCUUCAGAGGAUUAUGGUGCUGGUUUGGUGAAGUUAAAGGAUGAGCUUAGGAUUCCAAGGAAUAAAGAUAUAAAAACUGAUGAGCUUCAUAAUAUUCUCUCGCAGCUUGUCGAUGAUCCUCUUAGGGAUGGCCUAGCUCUGAAGGUGUUUGGUCUGAUUCUGUACAACAAGUUUUUCUUCCCAGGGUAUUCUCUGCGUGUGAAGAAGGAGGCGACAAUGAUUGAAGACUUUGACAUUGUCAAGUUGAAAACAUGCACUUAUUUGGACUAUCUGGACCACCGCUCCAUUGACCGUAAAGAUAAGAGGCACCCCCGUGCCAUCUACAUGGAUCCUAGGAAGCUUAUGAAACUUGCCAAUUUGGAUAUCUUGAAGAAAGGUGGCCUGGACCCUAGAUCUUGGAUCUUUGGCAAGUUGCCGUGCAAGGGGCGCAAUGACAUUAUCUAUUUUGAUGAAAGCGCUGAAGUGACUGGUACCAAUUAUUGUGUGUAUCCCAAGAAGAGGAAGUUUGAACCGUCCUCAGGAAUUGUUCACGCUAGUAGGCGUAAGUUUGCAGGAAGCAGUAGUGCUGCAGGUGUUUCAUCUGAAGGAGUGGGUACUUGGUUUGAUUCCACUUUCCAAGAGCUUGAUGCUGCAAUAGCAAAGGCAGUUCAGUUGUCACUUCAGCUGCCUACCACCAGCACCCAUCUGAGCAGCACUGCUAGAGUUUUGCCCCCUGAGCUUGCAUUUAAUGAAGAUGCUCACAGGAUUGUACCAUGCAAUAUGGUCGCUGCAAGCCUUUCGAAGAGCACGCACAAAAGUAUCUCACGGAGAUUGCUAAGGGAGAUGGUCCUACUUCCGGUGGAGAUGCUGGUGCUAGUGCUGCCGGGAGUGCAUACAUGUGCUGGUCGAGAAGGGGAACACAAUGAUUCUACUGUUCCUCAUGUAGAUAAGGUGAGUACUGAUGGGCCAACAUUAUCUCAAUUUUGUGCCCCUGAGCAUCAUGUGGCAUCCAGUGUUUCGACGCUAGAAGAUCAUCAUGAAGAGACAGAUGUACAACUUACUGGUGAUGUUGGAGUUGCGAAGAAACCAGAAGCUGGUGUUGCUGAAGCUCCUCAUGAAGAUCCAGCUGAAGUUGCCGCCGGUCAUAGUGAUUCUACUACAGUUACAACUGCUCUUGAGAAGACAUCCGCUGUUGUUGAUGCUGGCAUUGAGUGCGAAGCCUUUCCCCUUGUUGAAGGUGCUGAUUAUUUUGAUGAUUUGAUACAAGAGGAGGUUAUAAUUCCAGAUUUUGUUGAAAGGUAUAAAGAAUCUGAAAAGUUGGUUGUGCCCUACUGGAUCACUUUUUCAAAGAGAGUCGAAGACAAGCGUAUUGGCAAGAAGGAUAUUAUUGUGUUCCCAAUGUUAGAUCCUCCUCCUCCCAAAAGGCAUCCAGCUGAGUCAGCUGGUAUUGGUUACUGGGUGACCAUCAGCAUAGACAUGAAAAGACGGUGUUUCCAGUAUAUUGAUUCUCUGUACGACAAGGAUGACCUGGAUGGGUGGACCAUUUUCCUGAAAAUGAUGAAGAAUGUUAAGAUUCUCUGGAGGAUAUAUGAGCACAGAGAAACAAGAAGAUGGGUGUUCUUGUGGGUUUUUCAUGCUACCGACUGUUCAGUUGUGGGAUGCCAAGAAGAUGUCGAGGUUCUGAAAGAGAAGCCCGUCGUUAUGGAAACGCCAUCCAGCAAGAAGAAGCCGGUUAUAGAGUCUGAUUCAGCUUUCGAGAAAAUUGUUGUUGGACAUGAAUCUACUGACACCGAUGACUUUGUCAGGCCAAUAAUAACCACAAGGUCCGGCAGGCUGGCUCAUGGUAAGCAGGGGACAGUUUUUUCUGCAAAGAAGAUUAAGAAAGCUACCGGGGUCGACUCUAGGAAUUUAUUGUCCAAUGAGUGUGCGCCAAAGAAAGCAAAGAAGUGGAGUCAGCCGGUUGAGCAGCUAAGGCCCGUCGAGUACAGUAAUAUCCAAAGUGCUAGGCUUUUGAAGGAUUUCAUGCUAAGCAAGCAUGCAAUUCAGAAAACAACUUUUGCUAGGUUCAUUCACGCUGUUGAUGACACUGGUUUUGAGGUUGAGACAACUUUCACCGGUGAAGAUUUUGUAAGGAAUUUUGCUCAAUAUGGGCAGAUCGAAGGCGAGAUGAUGGACUUUGUCAUUUCUAGCUUUAAUUCUGAUGCAACCAUGAGUCAUGUUUUUGCUUCUGGGAAGCGUGUACUUUUGAGCUCGUACUUCGUUGCGUAUGUUCUUGGACUGGAUAAUUUGAUGAACACCAAGAAAUUUGAUCUCGAGGAAGCAGUUAAGUUAUUCCACAAUUUGGUGAAACCUUCACAAAAUCUUUUGUUGGCAGACUUGGGCAAAAGGUUUGAUGCUGUUAUGCAAGCUGUUUAUGGAAAAGAAGCAUGCACGAAGAACAAUGUACCGUGCCGGAGCGAGGUUGCAGAUAAACCCCACUACUUGAUGCCUGCUAAACAGGGAGUUAAUGAGUGUGGUAUCUAUUGCCUCAAGUUUGCAUGCACGUUUGAUGGGGAUCGAUGCGUCGAGCAUAUCCAGAACUAUGAUGACCGUUCUGAGGACUGGAAGGCUGAGUACAUGUUCAGAGUUCUUUUCCAUGAGGAUAACAAGGUGCCUCUUGAGGACCUUCCGAAGGGAAUCCAGUGCCUCUCCCCUACUUCUACAUUGUCAACACAGGGUGAAGAACUGUUGCUGAUGUUAACUCAGCUCCCAGCUGAAUGA
rnacentral:rRNA from 1 species